UACGGAGGGGGCGAGCGUUAUUCGGAAUUAUUGGGCGUAAAGGGCGCGUAGGCGGCUGUACAAGUCAAAGGUGAAAUCCCUCGGCUCAACUGAGGAACUGCCUUUGAAACUGUACGGCUUGAGGCCGGGAGGGGGUAGCGGAAUUCCCAGUGUAGCGGUGAAAUGCGUAGAUAUCAGGAGGAACACCUGUGGCGAAAGCGGCUCACUGGACCACAACUGACGCUGAUGCACGAAAGCUAGGGGAGCAAACAGG
rnacentral:rRNA from 1 species